rnacentral:lncRNA from 1 species
ACAUACAAAGGAAGUAAAAAAUGACAGUCACAAUGCUCCCCUCUGCCCCACUCUGAGAUCCCUGCAUGGCAUAUUAGCAUCCAGGGGUGGUACCUGUGGUGUAAGAGAUGGGGGGGGGGCUAUUUGUGUUGAAUCACAAAAGCUAUUUGUGUUGAAUCUUAAGCUUGCGGUCUCAACCAUCCCACAGUGAGAGGCAUCUAUGCCAUGUGAAAGGAGGACCUGACCUUCUACAAACCCAGACCAGGUACUGCGGCACUGCUAUCAUCCACAGUACUGAUUCCAACAGGAAGCAGAGACUUGGACUGGACCAUGGCCACCAAGGGUGUGUUGACCUAUAUAACUCUGUAACUAAACACUAUAUAAAACAUCACUGCUCCAUCAUGAGCAAUUGUGGUAUAUCAAAACACAGAAUAAUAUAAAGUGUAUGUGUAAUGUGUGUGUGUGUGUGUGUGUGUGUGUGUGUGUUGUAGAAGUUAACAGAGCACAGGUGGUUAGAACCAUGAAGGUGCGUACUUCCCUCAAGGGAGACGACAGCUGGAUCCGUAGAGUGACAGACCCAGAUGAAGAAGAGGGAAAACCACGUAAGCCAGAACUUCCGGAGAAACCCACUGGUCUCUUUUCAGCUGAAUCCAGCCCUGUUACCUCUCUUGCUCCAUGCAACCCCUACAGUCCUACAGUGACACCAGAUGUUGACCCACUGACCCCUGAGGAAAUCACCAAAUGGUCAUUGACAUCUAUCAGGGUCAGACCCCUGGCAAAGUCCUAUGUCCUCUCAGCAGCUAAGAAAUUUGAGUGGGUGUUUGUGUUUUAGUGUAGUGUUUAAUUUUUAUUUGUAUGUAUAUUUAAACAAU